AACGUAGGUACCGAGCGUUAUCCGGAUUUACUGGGCGUAAAGCGCGUUCAGGCGGCGCUGCAAGUCGGGCAUGAAAGCUCCGGGCUCAACCGGGAGAGGUUGUCCGAUACUGCAGGGCUUGAGGGCAGUAGAGGGUGGUGGAAUUCCGGGUGUAGUGGUGAAAUGCGUAGAGAUCCGGAGGAACACCAGUGGCGAAGGCGGCCACCUGGACUGCCCCUGACGCUGAAACGCGAAAGCUAGGGGAGCGAACGGG
rnacentral:rRNA from 1 species